rnacentral:tRNA from 1 species
AGGGGUGUCGCCAAGCGGUAAGGCAUCAGACUUUGACUCUGACAUUCGUAGGUUCAAAUCCUGCCGCCCCUGCCA